rnacentral:rRNA from 1 species
UACGUAGGCAGCAAGCGUUGUUCGGAAUUACUGGGCGUAAAGAGUGUGUAGCGGUGCCGUAAGUUUGGCGUGAAAUCUCCCGGCUUAACUGGGAGGGUGCGCCGAAGACUGCGGUGCUUGAGGAUCGGAGAGGAAAGUGGAAUUUCUGGUGUAGCGGUGAAAUGCGUAGAUAUCAGAAGGAACACCUGUGGUGUAGACGGCUUUCUGGACGAUUCCUGACGCUGAGACACGAAAGCGUGGGUAGCAAACAGG